GACGAACGCUGGCGGCGUGCCUAAUACAUGCAAGUCGAACGCAGUGGGGACGGGUGAGUAACACGUGGGUAACCUCCCAUCAGAGGGGAUAACACUUGGAAACAGGUGCUAAACCGAUACUGAUGGAUGGACCCGCGGUGCAUUAGCUAGUUGGUGAGGUAACGGCUCACCAAGGCCAAGAUGCAUCGACGACCGGAGAGGGGGUUCGGCCACACGGGGACGUAGACACGCACCAGACUCCUACGGGAGGCAGCAGUAGGGAAUCUUCGGCAAUGGACGAAAGUCUGACCGAGCAACGCCGCGUGAGUGAAGAAGGUUUUCGGUGCGUAAAACUCUGUUGUUAGAGAUGCGGUAGCUAACCAGAAAGCCACGGCUAACUACGUGCCAGCAGCCGCGGUAAUUC
rnacentral:rRNA from 1 species